CCCUUAGAUGUUCUGGGCGGCCCGCGCACUACAAUGGCGUGUGCAGCGAGUGCCGAAGUAGAGUUUUCCGAGGUAUUCUUGCAAUGCUCGUUUUGAUGGGGAUAGACCCUUGCAACUGUUGGUUUUGAACGAGGAAUUCCUUGUAAGCAUGGUUUAUCAUCCGACGCUGAAUGCGUCCCUGCCCUUUGUGCACACCGCCCGUCGCUCCUACCGAUGAGUCGUCCGGUGAAGUUCGUAGACCUCGUGAUCGCGGAUCACUGGGGGAAGCAAAAUGAACCUCGCGGUUUAGAGGAAGGAGAAGUCGUAACA
rnacentral:rRNA from 1 species